AGUGAACGCUGGCGGCAGGCCUAACACAUGCAAGUCGAACGGCAGCACAGUAAGAGCUUGCUCUUACGGGUGGCGAGUGGCGGACGGGUGAGGAAUACAUCGGAAUCUACUUUUUCGUGGGGGAUAACGUAGGGAAACUUACGCUAAUACCGCAUACGACCUUCGGGUGAAAGCAGGGGAUCUUCGGACCUUGCGCGAUUGAAUGAGCCGAUGUCGGAUUAGCUAGUUGGCGGGGUAAAGGCCCACCAAGGCGACGAUCCGUAGCUGGUCUGAGAGGAUGAUCAGCCACACUGGAACUGAGACACGGUCCAGACUCCUACGGGAGGCAGCAGUGGGGAAUAUUGGACAAUGGGCGCAAGCCUGAUCCAGCCAUACCGCGUGGGUGAAGAAGGCCUUCGGGUUGUAAAGCCCUUUUGUUGGGAAAGAAAAGCAGCAGGUUAAUACCCCGCUGUUCUGACGGUACCCAAAGAAUAAGCACCGGCUAACUUCGUG
rnacentral:rRNA from 1 species